rnacentral:rRNA from 1 species
CACGUAGUUAGCCGGAGCUUUCUAAUAAAGUACCGUCACUCCUAAGUCAUUUCCUACUUAGGUCGUUCUUCCUUUACAACAGAAGUUUACAAUCCAUAGGACCUUCUUCCUUCACGCGGCAUUGCUCGUUCAGGGUUUCCCCCAUUGACGAAUAUUCCUAACUGCUGUCUCCCGUAGGGGUCUGGGCCGUGUCUCAGUCCCAGUGUGGCCGAUCACCCUCUCAGGUCGGCUACGCAUCGUUGACUUGGUAGGCCUUUACCCCACCAACUAUCUAAUACGCCGCAGGCCCAUCUUAAAGUGAAGCUUGAUUGCUCCUUUUAAAUAUGAAAAACGUAUCUUUCAUAUUCUCAUCCGGUAUUAGCAGUCGUUUCCAACUGUUAUCCCAGUCUCUAAGGCAGGUUACCCACGUGUUACUCACCCUUGCGCCACUAGAUGGAUAUUCCUCUUCCGCUUCCGUGCAAGCACUUCCACUUCAUCGGGCAUCUCGUUCGACUUGCAUGUCUUAGGCAUGCCGCC